CUUUUGAUUAUAAUUUAAGGUCUAGCCUGCCCACUGAAUUAAUUUUUAAAUGGCUGCGGUAUACUGACCGUGCAAAGGUAGCAUAAUCAUUAGUUUUUUAAUUGAAAGCUGGUAUGAAAGGUUGGAUGAGAAAAUAACUGUCUCUGUUUAAAUUUAUUAGAAKUUUAUUUUUAAGUAAAAAAGCUUAAAUAAUUAUUGAAGACGAGAAGACCCUAUAGAGUUUUAUAAAUUUGAUUAUUGAAAAUUUUAGGAUUAUAAAAGUUAAUAAUUAAAUUUAUUUAGUUGGGGUGAUUGAAAAAUUAAUAAAACUUUUUUUGUAUAAGAACAUAGAUUUAUGAAUAAUUGAUCCUUUUAUUAAGAUUAGAAGAUUAAAUUACCUUAGGGAUAACAGCGUAAUUUUUCUUUAGAGUCCACAUUAAAAGAAAAGAUUGCVACCUCGAUGUUGGAUUAAAAUUAAUUUUUGGUGUAGAAGCUAAA
rnacentral:rRNA from 1 species